AUGGUGGAAUUAUCAGGUGAAUUUUGCUGUCACUUCCAGGGAAGGCGAGGAUGGCUGAAUAGGCUCUCGUCUUCACUCAGUGCUGUAGGCUCUGCUGUGACAAUCGCCACUGCCGGACGGACAGAGGAGACCUGGCCCUGGUGCAGAUUCUCAUCUUUGGCUGCACCUUGGAGUCUCUCUGGAAGCUUUCAAGAAGUGUUAGUACAAGACGGGCGAUGUGAUGAGCUGGCCCUUAGGCCCUGGUAUGGCUUUGGUCUUCGUUUUUUUUCAAAGUUCCCCAGGUGACUAUAACAUGCAGCUGGCAUGCCCCUAACAAAGGAAAGAAACUAUGAAUUGGGGGUUAGAAGUCAUUAUUAAAUCAGAGGUCCUCAAGUACAGUGUUCUCCAACCUCUUUGACACCAGGGACAGGGUUCACAGAAGACAAUUUUCCAGAGGUGGGAAGAGAAUUCUUUGUUUGUUUGUUUGUUUUGGUACCGGAGAUCAAACUCAGGACCUUGUGCUUGCCAGACAGGCAGGACACCACUGAGCUGAAUUCCUGGCCCAGGAGAAUUCUUUUUUUAAGUUUUUCUUUAUUAGAAUAUUUUUGUGAUACAUAAUAGUUACAUCCCCCAGCACUAGCAUCACUACCUCAGCUCCACCCCUUAGAUCAUCAGGCAUUAGAUUCAAAAGGAGCACAACCUAGAUCCCUCAUGUGCACAGGUCAGAGGAGGAUUUUCACUCCUAUGAGAAUCUAAUGCUGCCACUGAUCUGACAGGAAGUGGAGCUCAGACGGUGAGGGGAGCCAUGGGGAGGAUCUGUGAACACAGAGGAAGCUUCGCUUACUCCCCUCCUGCUGUUUCUAAUGGGUUGAUUUGGUUGCACAGUAAAUCACAAAGGUAACUUCUAAGAGUCCCAAAGCCUCGGUCUCACCCUUGCCAGUGACAGCCAACCUGGCUGUGGCUUUGACAGAUAUGAAAACUCCUGAGAUGAGAGAUCCUAGUGGCAGCCAAGUUUGAGAAUUGAUGACCCACAGUUUGGCACCACAGACUUUGCUGGUUUCUGCAUCAACUGGUGAGCUUGUCCUCAGCAGAGGCUGAUGAGGCAGGAAGGGCCCUGGGUCCUGCACUGCUGAGGCACUCUGAGAACAGGCCCUCCCAUGGGAGCUGGGGAGUCUCCUGAGAAGAGAGAGAGGUAUCUCAUGGGGCUGGUCUGCAGCAGCGCCUCACUUAUGUAGCAGAAAUGCCAAGACCUUAAAAAGUCAAUGAAGCUUGGAUCCUGUUACCAGUACAGUUAAUUUAUUUGCACUGUGCAAUUAACAAUUUUAACAACUCUGUGUGUGUGUGUGUGUGUGUGUGUGUGUGUAGGGGGGUGAUACUGGCUUUUGCCCUGAGCAGCAUCCCCAUCCCUUUUUAAAAACUAAAAAAUUUUAAGGCAGGGUCUCUCUAAGUUACUAAGUUGCCUAGGCUAGACUCCAACUCGUGGUGAUCCUCCUCCCUCAGCCUCCCGGAAUGCUGAGACUGCAGCGUGAACCACCACUCCCAGCUAUUUGACAAUUUUUAAAGGUUCCCUGGUGAUGGUUAUAUGGAAUCCCAAGUUGAGAACCCCCUCAGCAUGGGCACUAGGGACUGGUUAUAUCUCUAUGGGGCUGGGGAUUAAAGCUCAGUGCUUCCGCCGCCUGUCUGGAAAGUGCAAGGACC
rnacentral:lncRNA from 1 species